CAAAUCUUAAAAUAAGCUUUAAUAUAGUGUAUGCCAUAAAAACAUGAAAAAUGGCAAAAAAGAAAAUGUGUUAUUAUUUUAUUUUAUUUUUUAAAAUAUAUAAAUACAACCGAUAGGAAGUCAUAAAAUGUAGACUGUUCGGUGGGUCAAUACGCAGGGCUACUCAAAAAUACCACAGACAAUGGUUUGAAACGAAAACGUAGGGGUUUUUCUUACGGAUUCGCACAACCGACAGAUUGUGUAUUUGCGCUAUUAAUGAAAUUACAAAAUAAACCAUUACGUUGUUAUAUACAUAAUAGCCAUGAAUGGCAUCGAAAAUCGCAAAAUAGCGCCAAAAAUCUAAAAUGCCUACUUCGGAUAUGUGAAAAAUCGUCAUAGAAAAAAACGCAUUCGGAGUCAUCGGUGCAUAAAACAAACGUAUAAAAAGCUCGCUGCGCUAUUUUUAUCCGUAUCCCACAUAAUGAUUAGCGAUUGCCAUAAAAUCCGAUGCCCGAUUAGUGAGUCCUUGAUACCGCUGAUAUAAAUCCCGAUAAAUCAUAUAUUAUUGUUUUGAAUUUAUGUUUCUGCGUAGAAAUACACGCGAAUCGACUAAAACCGCGGAUUAAAUCGUUGCUACUGCGUUUUAACAGUAUAAUUGAUGUAAAGAAAACAAAACG